GAAGGUCUCCUUGGGAAAGAUGAUGCUACGCAGCGACUGCGGACUUAUGGCGGGUGUGGCCUGAACUGCGACGCAAAAGUACCAUUAGAUGGGAAAUACACUUUUGAUGGCUUGCCACAGACUCGUUUAGAAAUCGCACUCACCUGCCAGGAGUGGCAGCCACACCAGAAGGUGCAGGUACACACGGCUGGUGGGUGUGGAACUGGAACUUCGACUGCUCAUCCUCCGUUCUUGCUCAGCGCCAGCUGCGGACUACAGUGGGGUCAGCACGACGAUCGGCGAUCCCAGAUCUGACAGAGACCAGGCAGAGAGCAGAAACCAGCCGGACAACUUCCAACUUUCAAGUGCCAAUUAACCGAAAGCCAAUGGACACACUGAGAAAACCGACUCCGACUUCCAUAGAGAUCAGAAAUACAUAUACUUUUCUAGAAAUGUAAAAAUGUAGAGCAUUCACAGUGCAUUGCUUAUAAACAUGGAUGCUUAAGUGCAUUACAAUUAAUUUGUACUUUCUGUUUGCAAUUUAUGAAAUAUACUUUUUGAUUAGUGUCGCUUUUGCGCACGUGCCACA